UGGGCUUGUUUUGCUAGCUAAUAUGUCACCUGUCAUACUGAUGUGUUGGACUAAGCUAGCUUACAUAAUUUGUAUAUGUUUUAACAUCUUCUUGCACAAAAGCUAGACGACAACUGAAAGCAAACACUUCAUGCAUUGUGUGAUUCUGCAAAAGUGUAAACCAGAAACUUCACCGUAGGUUCCUAAAGUCACACCACACCUGAACUUUAGUGGUCAC
rnacentral:lncRNA from 1 species